UCCAGAGACAGGGCACCUGCUGCCUGUCUCUACUUCCCAACCGGGACCUGGUGAUGAAAACUUCAGCCAGGCCCAGAGGGAAGGGUGGAGGCUGUGAACUGCCAUUAUGCAUAUGCCUGGGGUUGUCCUGCCUUAAUUUAAGACCAUAAGCAAUCCAUCUUCUUCCAGAAACAGGGUAGAGCCUUCCCAGAUCAACAAAGCUCUGUCAGAGCUGAAGGUACACCUGAUUCCCUAGAGCACCAUUGAACAAGCCGGAUACAGUGCAGUUUGUUUCUCCUGGGCAGGCACACAUGGCGUCUGCCAAAAUGAGAACAUCGUUCACUUACACCUGUUUAUGGAAAACAAGAUACAGAAUGGCAUUGUACUUGAGAUUUGGAACCACCAGGAAUCCUGUUCUGUCUCCCCAGCUGUGCCAAUAAUUUCAUCAUAUUCAUUCCACCUGCAUGGGAUCGUGAUGCUUUCAGCCUUGGAACACCAAUAUUCACUGACAGGACACAACUUACAGUGCGGAAAGCACGAACAAACAGAGCAGAGAGAUCCCAAACAAAGGAAACCCAUUACCUGGUGUAGCAAGUUGAAUAGGGACCCUCCCCACAAAAUUCAUGUCCAUCUGAAACCAGUGAAUGUGACGGUAUUUGGAAUUGGGUCUUUGCAAAUGUAAUCAAGUUAAGAUGGGGUCGUACUCGUUGGAGGGAGUCCUAACCCCAUGACUGGUGUCCUUGGAAGAAGUGAAAUCUGGAUACAAAGACACAGAUACAGAGGGGAGGAGGCCACGUGAAGAUGGAAGUGGAGACUGGAGCCACGUAUCUACAGCAAGCAAUGCCAAGGAUGGCUGGCAACCAUCAGAAGAGGAGACAAGCAGGGAACAGUCUUGCCUUCAGAGCCUAAGGAAGGAGCCAACCUUGUAAAACCUGUUUUCAAACUUCUAGCUUCUAGAAUGGUGAGAGAAUAUGCCCAAAUUACCUCUCAUGACUCAGGAGUUCCACGCUCCUGUCCUUAGUGGCUGAAGGGACCGUUUGCCACUUCCUUCUGAAAGGACCCUUGUUACUCAGACACGCUCCCAUCAAUUCAGAUGACAGCUAACUGACAUGAACACCCACAGAUGACUUCUUAACAUAAUACAAAUUGCAUUCUGUGAAUAAAUACUUAUUGGCUUGGCU
rnacentral:lncRNA from 10 species